GAUGAACGCUGGCGGUGUGCCUAAUACAUGCAAGUCGAGCGAACAGACGAGGAGCUUACUCCUCUGACGUUAGCGGCGGACGGGUGAGUAACACGUGGAUAACCUACCUAUAAGACUGGGAUAACUUCGGGAAACCGGAGCUAAUACCGGAUAACAUGUUGAACCGCAUGGUUCAACAGUGAAAGACGGUCUUGCUGUCACUUAUAGAUGGAUCCGCGUCGCAUUAGCUAGUUGGUAAGGUAACGGCUUACCAAGGCAACGAUGCGUAGCCGACCUGAGAGGGUGAUCGGCCACACUGGAACUGAGGCACGGUCCAGACUCCUACGGGAGGCAGCAGUAGGGAAUCUUCCGCAAUGGGCGAAAGCCUGACGGAGCAACGCCGCGUGAGUGAAGAAGGUCUUCGGAUCGUAAAACUCUGUUAUUAGGGAAGAACAAAUGUGUAAGUAACUAUGCACGUCUUGACGGUACCUAAUCAGAAAGCCACGGCUAACUACGUG
rnacentral:rRNA from 1 species